AGAGUUUGAUCAUGGCUCAGGAUGAACGCUGGCGGCGUGCCUAACACAUGCAAGUCGAACGGUGGUAGUAAUACUACAGUGGCGCACGGGUGAGGAACACGUAGCUCACCUGCCUUGGGGUGCGGGAUAACGUUCCGAAAGGGAUGCUAAUACCGCCUAAGCUCACGAGAUGCAGAGGCUUGUGAGAAAAGAUUAAUCGCCCGAAGCGGGGGCUGCGGCCCAUCAGGUAGUUGGUAGGGUAACGGCCUACCAAGCCGACGACGGGUAGGGGGCCUGAGAGGGUGACCCCCCACACUGGGACUGAGACACGGCCCAGACUCCUACGGGAGGCAGCAGUGAGGGAUAUUGCACAAUGGGCGCAAGCCUGAUGCAGCGACGCCGCGUGAGUGAAGAAGGCCUUCGGGUCGUAAAGCUCUUUUCUGGGUGACGAGGACAAGGACGGUAGCCCAGGAAUAAGUGUCGGCUAACUACGUGCCAGCAGCCGCGGUAAUAC
rnacentral:rRNA from 1 species